rnacentral:lncRNA from 1 species
GGAAGAGCUACGACUUGCCUGCUAACCUUGACCUUCUCCUGACCAAAUGGGCUGCCUUAGUCUUCCUCCUUCUCUCCUUCCUCCCCCACUCUGCCCGCUGUUAAAAAUAAAGCCUUGUUUGCUUCUUAAAUCACGAGCUUCCUCCUUCCUCAGGAGGGAGGGGGCGGAGAGGCCUGGAAGGAGAGACUGUAGUAGGAGGUGUCUGUCUGCUCCCAGAAACUGUCUUCGGCAGAGAAGAGCUGUGGGGUUUAACAAAACAAGCAUGAUUAAUUACUAAGAGGCAAGGAGGGAACCCCGCCCCACCCUUGCUCCGUGGGCCUGCUUUUGUGUGGUAACAGGGAGGCAGAGACGCCAGGGGAGGAUUGGAAGUGGGAGGUGGAAGCUCGUUAUUGGCAGGGAACGUGUCUGUUAAUUCUGCUUUUUGUACUCUCCCAAAUGCUUACUUCAGUACUCUGCCUACAAUAAAAACUCCAUAAAUGCCAUUGAUUGAGCAGAAAGGUGGGUGGUACCUUUUUUUCCCUGCUUCCUUUCCCCCGUGAUCCUUUGCAUUGGGUCAGUGGAAGCAUUCUUCACCCACUGCAGCAGGAGAAAGUGGAGUCUUUCUAAGUCCUUCUGGCUCCUGCACUCCCGGUUCAGGUCAACUCACAGGUUAUGCAGCAGGAAACAGACUGUCAUCAUACCAGCCCACCCUAACCAGGGUGGUGAAAUAGUUCACAGGUAUUAGGCAAGGAGAGGGAGCGGAGGCUGAUGGGCAGAUUACUCUGCAGAAGCUAAGUGAUGGUGGCCUGUUGCCAGACGAACUCCAGCUGUGGGACUGGGUAUUUACCUCUUCAGAAGUCACGAAGCUCCAGUGCUGUUGAUGGGGGAACGGAGGCACAGAAAAGUGAAGUGUUUGCUCAGGGUCACACUUGCGCCAUCCGCUCCAGAAAUCCUGGCCCAGGUAUCCUGGAGCAGACAGAGCCAGGGUUCGACGAUAAGUGCUGGCCAGAUCCCAACAGACGGGCAGGGAAAGUGGGGAUGUGAAGAACUGCACCUCCCUCGAGACGUGUCCAUCUUCGCCAGGACAGGGCUUCUGAAGGCACCCACUGGGCUCCAGAGCAGACAGCUCUGCCGGUUUGCUACCAACACCAUUUUGCUGCUGGCUGUGAUGGAGGAAUGGGGCAGACAAGUGAAAGCAACCUUCGGGUCCUCACCUCAAGGCCAAAAAUCAGUAGGAGGGCCGAUGGUGCUGUGACUGUGCCCCUUCUCCUGAGUUGGUACCUAUGGAAUCUGCCAUCAUUAUUAUUAAUGAUAUUUAUUGAGCACUUACUAUGUGCAGGGCAGCGUACAAGUCGGUUAGAGGUAUUGAGUGCUUACGAUGUGCAGAGCACUGUCCUAAGCAUCGGGGAGAGUACAGUACAACACAGAAUUUACUAGCCUAGGGUCUCUACCCGGGGCCAGGAAACUUGGGUCCUACUCCUCCCCAGAAGUAAAGGCUUAGGCGAGGGCAAAGACCCUGACCCCUCUGGGGGGCUGCGGGGAGAAGGGAGAUGGGCCAGAUGGAAGCAUAAAGAGGGGCAGCAUGGCCUAGCGGCUAGAGGCCUGGCCUGGGAGGCAGAAGGUCAUGGGUUCUAAUCCCGCCUCCGCCACUUGUCUGCUGCGUGGCCUCGGGCAAGUCACUUUACUCCCCUGGGCCCCAGUUCCCUCAUCUGUAAAAUGGGGAGUGAGAGGGGGAGCCCCUCGUGGGACAGACAGUGUCCAACUCGAUUUGCUUGGAUCCACCCCAGCGCUUGGUACAGCGCCUGGCGUCUAGGAAGCGCGUAAUCAGCACCAUUAUUAUGAAAAAGGGGGUUGAGACGGGAGGGGGGCGCGGCACAUGGGACAGGGACGGUGUCCAACUCGAUCUGCUUGGAUCCACCUCAGCGUUUAGUACGGUGCCUGGCACGUGGGAAGGGCUGAACCAACACCAUUAUCAUCAUUAUUGUUAUUCCUACUAUUGCGGACGGCGAGUGUUUAGGGGUCUGGAGUCCGGUUGGUAGGUGGGCAGGGGCAGAAGCAGGAUCAGGGGCUCCCCGGUGCCUCCCGCACUUGGGGGUGCGGCGGGGGUUGGGGGGCUCCUCUCGGGCCUGGGAGCCGCGGGGCGGGGGGAGGACAGAGACACAGAGAGAGAGAGAGACACCCCGGGAGAGAGAGAGAGACACCCCGGAGAGAGAUCCGGGGAGAGAGAGACACCCCGGAGAGAGAGAGAUCCCGGGGAAAGAGAGACACCCCAGGGAGAGAGAGACACCCCGGGGAGAGAGAGAGACUUGGAAGAGGGAGACACCCUGGGGAGAGAGAGACCCGGCGGGGAGAGAAGAGAGAAAGAGUCGAGGCCCCG